AUAUAUUUUUGUAGUAUUUCAUUAAAUAAAGACAAGCGAUUGUUACUUAUAUUAUUAUAAAAUAAUAUUUCAUAGUUUUUGCGAACAAUAUAUAAUAUUUGUAAAAUAUGGAAUAUGAUUGAUUAAAAUCAAACGAUUUGAGUAGAAUAAUGAAGCAUAUUGGCCGUCCUGUGCAUUUCAUAUAUUGUGUUGUUUUGCCGUAAUAGAAAAAUCGAACACUUAAAUUUGCAUUGCAAAGUUAUGCGAGCAUAUAAAAUAUUUGUAAAUUAGUUUUUAGGUUAUCAUUAAUGCAAAUAUAUAACUUUAACUAUACUAAAAAUUAGUUUGAAAAUAAAUUCACUUAACACUUUUCUACACUUUACGCCCGGAUUGAAAAUUACUUAACCAACAUAUCUGCUACAAUUGGAGCAUUUUACUGAAAUAUGGCUGAGCGUCCCAAUAAUUUAUUUGCAGUAAGUUCCGGUCGACCACGCGUACCACCUGGAGAAUUAAAUUUUAACAACCAUAACAUGCGACACCCACCAUCAUCUUUGUCUUCAACAUCAUCAGGUUCUACAUCGUCGGCAUCAAGCUUCUCUUCACAUAAUAUGUCUCUAAGAUUUGGUUCACCAGCGACCGGCGCCAAUAUUGUUAAUCCACCUCUACCAAUGGGCAUGCCAGAUCGCACACGCGAAAGAAUACAACAACAAGCUUGUGGCAAACUACAAUUAGGACCUGGCUCUCAAAACAUCUAUCAAUUCACAUCAGAUGAUAUGGAAGAUCUUGGUGAGAUUGGACGUGGAGCAUUUGGUGCUGUAAAUAAAAUGAUAUUUAAAAAAAUUGAUAUGGUUAUGGCCGUUAAGCGCAUACGUUCGACAGUUGAUGAAAAAGCACAGAAACAACUCCUGAUGGACUUAGAAGUUGUUAUGAAAUCGAAUGAAUGUAAUUUCAUAGUACAAUUUUAUGGUGCGCUGUUUAAAGAGGGCGAUUGCUGGAUAUGUAUGGAAUUGAUGGACACUUCUUUGGAUAAAUUUUAUAAAUAUAUAUAUGAACGCAAACAACAAAGGAUUCCUGAAUCCAUACUUGCCAAAAUAACAGUGGCUACUGUGCACGCUUUAAACUAUUUAAAAGAAAAAUUAAAAAUUAUUCACAGAGAUGUUAAGCCAAGCAAUAUUUUAUUACACAAACGUGGUGAUAUUAAAUUAUGUGAUUUUGGUAUCUCAGGACAACUAGUUGAUUCCAUAGCCAAAACAAAAGAUGCUGGAUGUCGUCCAUAUAUGGCGCCGGAGAGAAUUGAUCCAGAACGUGCUAAAGGUUACGAUGUACGUAGUGAUGUUUGGUCCUUAGGCAUAACACUGAUGGAAGUAGCAACUGGUACUUUUCCAUAUCGUAAAUGGGAUUCAGUUUUUGAGCAAUUAUGUCAGGUUGUGCAAGGAGAUCCUCCGCGUUUGCAACCUUCUUACAAUGGCAUGGAGUUUUCAAUUGAAUUUGUUGAUUUUGUUAAUACUUGUCUUAUUAAAAAUGAAAGUGAACGUCCAAAAUAUAGCCGCUUAUUACAAAUGCCAUUUAUCAUACGAGGAGAACAUAGCCACACUGAUGUAGCUGCUUAUGUGACGGAUAUACUAGAGUCUAUGGAAAAUGAUGGCAUCACACAAUUCACUAUGAAUCAGCCGGCUGAAAGUUAAUAAUUGAAACCGUUUUGAGAUAUAUCACCUACGAUAAAGGCCUCAAGAUACAUUAAAUUCAAUUUGCAAGUGAAGUGAUUUGCAAUGCGUCAUUAUAUCCGUAAAGGAAGGAAGAAAAAAACUAUGACAUAAUUUAAUAAGGACCUUUUAAAUUCUCUCACAUUAUUCAAUAAGGCCUCAGUUAAUCAAAUUGUCGUAACGACGACAAAAUAUUAAAGCUUCACAGGAAAACACCAUGGUAAGAGCUUCAGUGUCUAAAUUGAAUAAAGCCGUAAUUUAAUCAAACGAGAGCCUUCUGCGUGUAUUUUAAAAAAGCAAUUAAAAUGUUCACUUUCUGAGGAAAUUGCCUUAAGUAUAUCAGGUCCAUCAAAAAUGAGUGAAUAAAUAAUUUCUCAAAUAUAAUAAAGAAAAAUCACACCACAAUUAUAGCUUGUUAUGAUAGCAGUGAUUAAAAGAUGAAUUAAACGGAUGCAAAAGCACAUACAAGUAUAUAUCAGAAAUACUUGGAUUAUAAUAUAAUAGUACAAGUUUUACACCUCUACUAUAUAUCUUUGUGUAU